UUUACUAGGUGGAGUUUCUUUUUAAAAAAUUACAUUGUCAUAGGAACACUGAACGUGAAGUCUGCCCUCUUAACACAUUUUUAAGAGACCCAUGCGGUCUUGGUGACUUGGCACAACGUUGUACAGCAGGUCUCUGGAGAUACUCAUCUCGCUUCACUGAAAACUUGUGCCCGUUGCUCAGCAGUCCCAUCGCCCUCCCCCAGCUCUGGCAACCACCAUUCCACGCUUCGGUUCUAUGAAUUUGACUUCCCCAGGCAUCUCAGGUGAGUGGACGCUCACGGCGCUUGUCCUUCUGUGACUGGCUCAUUUCACUCAGCAUUUGUCCUCGGGUUCCCACAUUGUGGAAUUUUUCUUUUUAAGGCUGAGUAAUAUUUCCACUGUAUGGAUGGACUACAUGUUAUUAUCCAUUCAUCUUUUGAUGGACUUUUAGGUUGUUUGCACAUCUUGACAAUUGCGGAUAAUUUUUAAAUGCUUAGACUUUGGAAUGUAUGCGGGUAUGUACAUCUGAGCAUGUGUGCACCUGAUCUGGAAGUUUCCUUCAAGUAAAGUAGCUCUUCCUCGUCAGGGCACAGCUGUCAACCAACGAGGCCAGACUCGCGGGGGCCAGCGGCCAAGCUGUGCCCCACCCAGGGUGCUUUCUGUCCAUCCGGGUUCCUAGACAGGGGCUGGCCGGUCACAGGGCGAAGAGACAGGACCCAGAGGCCAGCGAAUAAGGGGCUUGAUGAGGAUUAAUAAGCCAAAGCAGAAGUGUGGUCCUGUUAGGAUCAUUGAAGCUGUGCUAUAAACACACAUAUACAUGAAAACAAACGACUUUCUAAGAUAACUGAGCGUUAGUUUCCGAGGGCUGCCAUUGACAAAUGACCACAAACGAGGUGUCUUCACACACCAGAGUUUACGCUCACAGGUUCCAGAGGCAGGAGGUCCCGAGGUCAAGGCUCUGGCGGGCCAGGCGCCCUGAGGCUCUAGGGAGGCCCCUGCCCGACCCGGCCUCGGGCUGCGUGGGCCUCGGUGGUGCCCCCGCUUGGAGCUGCGUCCCACCAGCCUUGGCGGCUUCCCCUGCCUAUGUGCCUCUCCUCAUAAGGACACCAGUCAUUUUGGAUUAGGGGCUCACCCUGCUGCAGUGUCACCUCAUUUUAAGUAACUACUUACAUCUGCAAAGACCCUAUUUCCAAAUAAGGUCUCAUUCUGAGGGCCCCAGUGAACAUGAAUUUGGGGGGACACUAUUCGAUCCAAUACACUCAGCAAACUUGAGCUGGUAAUGCUGGUCCUCCCCUUUGCACGCCGUGAGAGGGACACGCUGGGAACUGCUGAUAACCUGCCACAGAAGCUGUUUCCGAAGCCCAGCCAAUCAAGUGACAGAAUGAGGUCAGGCGUCCAGGAGCUCCUGGGAUAACCGCCUUGUCCCCAGUGUGUGUGGGUGCGGGGAGAAGGGGGGACGUCAUUCCCACAGACAGAUGCCUCUAAUAGCGGCUUCAGGUUCUCCUUUCAAAGCCAGCACUGGGUCUGCGCAAGUGGGGGCUGUGAGUGUGUCUGCGUGGUGCACACGUGCAUGCAUGUGAGCUGCUCCUGUGAACGAGAACCCGGGAUAAAGCCGCCUGGAGAAGGGGCUUUCUUCAGCCAGGAGGCAGCUCCGCACUGAGCUCCUCUGCAGGGAAAGGAUAUCGCCGUAGGGACACACAUGAGAGGAUUUCACCCCAUUUGCUUCUCCCAACGGUCCUUUAAGGCAAGUACUAUGAAGAUCCCCAACUCACCAACACAGAUGAAGACCUGUGGCUUGGAGAAGCUCAGACCCUUCUGAAGGGAAGGCAGCGCCAGGGCGGCAAGGUCCUCCUGGCACGGAGCCUGGCUCUCACCUGUGGGACACUGAUACCCAUGAGCUGCGAGUGCAAAUCUCACCCGUGGGCCCAUGCGGGCGGCCCCUCUGGUUUUGUGGUGCCUGCGUUCACUCAGACACGCAUCUCCCACCCCAGUAAAGGCAGCCAUGGGAACCUGUUCCUACAACAACCGGUCCUCAGUGAGGAGAACGCCACACGGGGACCACGCCUUUAGUUUCCAGGGGCUAAGACAGCCUGCUCUGCGUUCUGCCACCCUUAACUUUUUCUCUGACACCUGUGAUGCCAAAUGGAAACAGGCUCGGUCAGAGAGCACGCAGAGCCUGGCCCGCCGUUUCCCAAGCAACAUUUCCAUUUUAGCUCGGGUUAGAUGGAGUCCCAUCCUAGCUUUUUCGUGGUCGCCUGUGACCCGGGAUCAGAGGUGACUACCGGCCGACAGCACCCACCCCUCACUGUGACCCUCCCCCGGCAGAGUUCCUCCCAGUGACCUUGGCCUUGUGCUCGGCCCUUGGUCCACAGACCCACCCAAUCCUUGGCCUCCAUCCAUUUGAUUGCUGUGCUAUUUUUGAGGAAGAAAGGGAAGUCUUCUGCAGAGACUCAGAAAUGGCAAAGAACUUGACGCUGAGGCUCUUGGCCCCUGGAGCCACAGGAACCACAGUCAUCAGGGAAAGGCAAGUAGAAACUCCGAUGAGACAUCUCUGUACGCCCAUCAGAAUGGCUAAAAUGAAAAGGACGGGGAAAUACAGGUAUUUGUAAAUAUGCUUGUAAAUAUUUUUUAAUAGUUUGAAAAUAUAUGAAUAUCUGAACAGACUGUUUUUACACAAGUGCCAUUAUACUAGUCAUGCCAUCUUGCCACUCAUUUUUUAUUUUAUGAUAUAUGGUGGUCACUGUGAAAAUUAGUAAAGGGAAACCUCAAUAAAAUGGAGUCAGGAGGCCAGAAGGGGGCGCUCUCACACAGGACCUACGGCUCCAUGUCAGUCACAGGAAGAAUGUCAAUUACAGAUCCCAACAGAAUUGUCAACAGGAAACAAUCACCAAUUACAGGCCCUGACAGGAAAAGAUGGAUGUUGCAUCUCCUACAAGAAAUUGGCUGCCCCAGCAACUCAGCCAAGGAGAAACGGUCAUCUCCCUCAACUAUGGAUUUUCUCCAAUGGACUUUUGUUCAAAACAACCCCUCCCAACUUCCUCCUUUUUCCCCAUAACAUAACGUUCCUCUCUUUUGUUUGUUGGACUUACUUAAAGCUUUUGCUAUAGCUUGCCUGUCCUGAAUUGCAAUUCUUCGCUGUUCCCGAGUAAACCAUUUUUGAUGGUAAAAUAACUGACUUUUAUUUUUAAGGUCAAGAGCACUUUUUUUUUUUAAUUGGGGAAUUAGGGGAU